AGCGAACGCUGGCGGCAGGCCUAACACAUGCAAGUCGAACGGAUCCUUCGGGAUUAGUGGCGGACGGGUGAGUAACACGUGGGAACGUGCCCUUUGGUUCGGAACAACUCAGGGAAACUUGAGCUAAUACCGGAUGUGCCCUUCGGGGGAAAGUUUUAUCGCCAUUGGAGCGGUCCGCGUCUGAUUAGUUAGUUGGAGAGGUAAAGGCUAACGAAGGCGACGAUGAGUAGCUGGUCUGGGAGGAUGAUCAGCCACAUUGGGACUGAGACACGGCCCAAACUCCUACGGGAGGCAGCAGUGGGGAAUCUUGCGCAAUGGGCGAAAGCCUGACGCAGCCAUGCCGCGUGAAUGAUGAAGGUCUUAGGAUUGUAAAAUUCUUUCACCGGGGACGAUAAUGACGGUACCCGGAGAAGAAGCCCCGGCUAACUUCGUGCCAGCCGCCGCCGUAA
rnacentral:rRNA from 1 species